rnacentral:rRNA from 1 species
CUACGGGGUGUAGCAGUGGGGAAUAUUGCACAAUGGAGGAAACUCUGAUGCAGCAACGCCGCGUGGAGGAUGACACUUUUCGGAGCGUAAACUCCUUUUAUAUAGGAAGAAGAUGACGGUACUAUAUGAAUAAGCGCCGGCUAACUCCGUGCCAGCAGCCGCGGUAAUACUGAGGGCGCAAGCGUUACUCGGAAUCACUGGGCGUAAAGAGCGUGUAGGCGGAUUAAAAAGUCAGAAGUGAAAUCCUAUAGCUUAACUAUAGAACUGCUUCUGAAACUCUUAAUCUAGAAUAUGGGAGAGGUAGAUGGAAUUUCUGGUGUAGGGGUAAAAUCCGUAGAGAUCAGAAGGAAUACCGAUUGCGAAGGCGAUCUACUAGAACAUUAUUGACGCUGAGACGCGAAAGCGUGGGGAGCAAACAGGAUUAGAUACCCCAGUAGUC